rnacentral:rRNA from 1 species
UACGAAGGGGGCUAGCGUUGUUCGGAUUUACUGGGCGUAAAGCGCACGUAGGCGGAUAUUUAAGUCAGGGGCGAAAUCCCGGGGCUCAACCCCGGAACUGCCUCUGAUACUGGAUAUCUCGAGUCCGGAAGAGGUGAGUGGAAUUCCGAGUGUAGAGGUGAAAUUCGUAGAUAUUCGGAGGAACACCAGUGGCGAAGGCGGCUCACUGGUCCGGUACUGACGCUGAGGUGCGAAAGCGUGGGGAGCAAACAGG